rnacentral:rRNA from 1 species
GAUGAACGCUGGCGGCGUGCCUAAUACAUGCAAGUCGAGCGAACAGACGCUGAGCUUGCUCCUCUUACGUUAGCGGCGGACGGGUGAGUAACACGUGGUUAACCUACCUUUAUUACUGGGAUAACUUCGGGAAUCCGGAGCUAAUACCGGAUAUUAUAUUUAACCGCAUUGUUCAUUAGUUUAAUACGUUUUUGCUGUCUCUUAUAGAUGGUUCCGCGCCGCAUUAGCUAGUUGGUAAGGUAACUGCUUAUCAAGGCAACGAUGAGUAGCCGACAUGAGAGGGUGAACGGACACAGGGGAACUGAGACACGGACAAGAGUACAACGGGAGGAAGCAGUAGGGAAUAUUACACAAUGGGCGAAAGCAUGAAGGAGCAAAGCCGCGUGAGGGAUGAAGGACUUAGGAUCGUAAAACGCUGUUAUUAGGGAAGAAAAAAUGUGUAAGAAAAUAUGGACGUAAUGACGGUACCGAAUAAGAAAGCAACGGCUAACUACGUG